rnacentral:rRNA from 1 species
CAGCAAGCAAAACGAAAUUUUAGUUUGCACCCCCGAAACUAAGUGAGCUACUUUAAAACAGCCACAUGGGCCAACUCGUCUCUGUUGCAAAAGAGUGAGAAGAUUUUUAAGUAGAAGUGACAAGCCUACCGAACUUAGAGAUAGCUGGUUAUUUGGGAAAAGAAUAUUAGUUCUGCCUUAAGCUUACAUUAACACCUCCUUUUAAAGCAUCUUAAGAGUUAUUCAAAUAAGGUACAGCCUAUUUGAUACAGGAAACAACCUAAAACAUAGGGUAACGCUACCUACAAAUUGUAUAAUUAAGUUUGGCCUAAAAGCAGCCAUCUUUUAAAAAGCGUCAAAGCUUAAUUAUUUAAUAACAACAAUUACAACAAAAAUGCUAAACCCACCACCACUACCAAAUAACUUUAUAUAACUAUAAAAGAUAUUAUGCUAAAACUAGUAAUAAGAAAAUGACUUUCUCCUAAAUAU